UAGGGAGUUUUCGGCAAUGGGGGAAACCCUGACCGAGCAACGCCGCGUGAGUGAUGAAGGUCUUCGGAUUGUAAAGCUCUGUUACAGGGGACGAAUGAUCGCUAUAGGAAAUGAUAGCGGUUCGACGGUACCCUGCCAGAAAGUGACGGCUAACUACGUGCCAGCAGCCGCGGUAAUACGUAGGUCACGAGCGUUAUCCGGAAUUAUUGGGCGUAAAGAGUGAGCAGGCGGUGAAGUAAGUCUGGAGUGAAAGCGUGGGGCUUAACCCCAUACAGCUUUGGAAACUACUUCGCUAGAGUAUGUCAGAGGUUCACGGAACUCCAUGUGUAGCGGUGAAAUGCGUAGAUAUAUGGAAGAACACCGGUGGCAAAGGCGGUGAACCAGGACAAUACUGACGCUC
rnacentral:rRNA from 1 species